rnacentral:misc_RNA from 1 species
GUACUUCUGAUAAAUCAGUACCUAUUAGUCUUAAUCUGUUAAAAGUGUAACAAGUGACUUUUCUCAUAUUUACACAUUAAAUACCAGCUACCUUUACAGCAUUACUUUAAAAUUUCAUGAUCCUGCUUAAAAUGACUAAAAAGAUACACUCAAUUUACACUUUGAAUCGCUCUCCUGUAAAGUUGCUGUUUUUCACAUCCGACGUUUUUAAUAGUCAUGAGCGACUUGUU